rnacentral:lncRNA from 1 species
GAUAUUCUUUAUUCAAAAUGCAUGAGUAUAAAAAUUAUUUUUGGGAACUUAACUUGUAGUGUCCUAACGUAUUGGGUGUGGCAUGUUAUUUUCUCAAAAUGAAGAUUUUCACAUAAAAUAAAGUGAUAUUCAAAGUUCGGGAAUUAUGAAGAAUUGUACCCUAACGUAUUGGGACUCGAUUUCUUUACAUGACUUGAGCAAUUGAUUAUCUUUUUUUUCAAAUUUCAUCGUUUGAGUUGAUUUUUAAUUUUUUUUAAAACCUUCGACACUAAGACAUCAAAUAAUCAAUUUGGUACCGAUUUUGGGCGUUACGAGGGUGCUAACCCUUCCUCGUGCGUAACUGACUCCCGAACUCGUUUUCUCAAAAUUCGUAGACCAAAAUAAAUUUUAAAGGUGAGCCGAUCACACCUUAAUAAAGGAUCGGUGGCGACUCCAGUUUUAUUUUUAAAAGUCGACAACUAAAUUUUUGUUUUCAAAAAGAUAGUUUCGACACUUAUAAUAUUUUGAUACUUCCUCAUAAUUUUUGUUAUGGACUUGGAAGGAGAAAUAUAAUCUUGAAGUAAAAAUUUUUUUUUUUAAAUAUUAAUAAACUUCAUUGGUAUUUUGUAGAUGGAUAAAAAAUUGUAACAUUUAAAUUAUUAUUAUUUUCAUGCUAUUGUUUGGUACGGAAUUUUUCUUUAUAUGUAAUGAUAAGUUUUAAAAAUAUGAUAAAUUAAAUAAAUGAAACAAUUUUAAUAAGACCAACCAAAUUUUUGUCUUUUUUCUUUUUGUACUCUUUCAUUUUUUUGGUAUUUCCUCGUAAAUUUUAGUAUCCCCUCAAAUAUUUUAACAUUUUCUCAUAAUUUUUAGUAUUUCAUUGUAUUUUUUGUGUUCCCUCAUAAUUUUUGGUAUAGCCUUAGAAAUUUUUGCAUUUC